AUUGAACGCUGGCGGCAGGCCUAACACAUGCAAGUCGAGCGGAGCGGCAGACGGGGGAGUAAUGCCUAGGACUCUGCCUGUUAGUGGGGGAUAACGUCCAGAAACGGGCGCUAAUACCGCAUACUAUCAGAUGAGACUAGGUGGGAUUAGCGAGUUGGUGGUGUAAAGGCCUACAAAGGCGACGAUCCGUAACUGGUCUGAGAGGAUGAUCAGUCACACUGGAACUGAGACACGGUCCAGACUCCUACGGGAGGCAGCAGUGGGGAAUAUUGGCCAAUGGGCGAAAGCCUGAUCCAGCCAUGCCGCGUGUGUGAAGAAGGUCUUCGGAUUGUAAAGCACUUUAAGUUGGGAGGCGUUACCAACAGAAUAAGCACCGGCUAACUUCGUGCCAGCCGCCGCGGUAAUAC
rnacentral:rRNA from 1 species